AAAACAAACUAAUAGGAGAAAAAAAAAAGUAGGUGCCUUGACUUCAAAGUUCAAAGUUGGUGUGCAAAGCAAUUUGGUUCAUUCGGUUGACCACAGUCAGAAGAUUGAUUGUUCUUUCCCCCAUGGAAAACUUGGGUACUUGGGUAUCCGCUUUCCGGUUUCCCAUAAACAGGCCUCAAUGGAAAUUAAGAUAGCGUUUAUAUGCUAUUGAUUAAAUUAAUCCAUACUCCAAGCUCCUUGAAGGAAUUCGGGAUUUGGGUUCUCUGAUUUUCCCUGUUCUAGCUAUGUUUUGAAGGGUUAACUUUAAUUUAAAGGAUUCAUCGUUUGCCCACAACCUGUUUGCUUUAAGACGGUUUAUAGGUUUGUUAUCUUUAACAGAUUGGUGAUUUAUGUCUGCGAGUUGCAGAUGGGAAGCUUGAAUUUGGAUGAUGUAUAAAUGAAUUUAAAUUGGGGUUAAGCGAUUUGAGAUUUUAAACGGGAAAUUUAUUCACUUUUUAUGGGAAUUCGAGUUAAGGAUAUGCUGGAUGUGUACUGAUUGGUUAAAGGGGUUUCGUUUUUUAGUGAAAGUACCUAUCGUAUUAAUCAUUUGAAGCAAAUGCUUGAUCCUACGUGCUGGUUAAACUAACAAUCCUCCUCUUGGCUUAAUGUCUUUCAUCUAUGAUUAUUUGAUUAUGGUGAAGCAAUGCAUCUCUUGCGAGAUUCUACAUCUGUUAUUGUAUUCCUAUUUUCUUAGCAUAUUUGGUUUUCACUGUAUAUUUUCUAGUCCAAGUUCAAGGAACUUUACUGUUUAUUCUUGGUGCGCUCAGGCAGAAUCUCACUCAUAUAUCUUUUCCUUUCAGAGAAUCAAAACGGAUAUAGUCAUUUGUCGCCACGAUGAUUAUUUUCUCGUCAGUAGGAGUUCAAUUUUUUUUGUUACCACUGCAUAUAUUUUUCUUGGGGGAGGAUGGGGAAAUGGGGUUUUUGGUAUCUACCAACGUUUGUUAUUUCCAUCUCUGAUGUUUGGAACUAAUUGUUAAGGUUAUUGCAACUCAAAUUGGAGCAAUGGGGACUAUGUUACAAGCCAGGUUCUUAGACAUCUAUAUGUUACAUUCACGGGAAGGAGGAGGGGAUGACAAUUCAUCCAACCUUCUCAGUGUCAACUGUUUUUGGCAAAAGAGAUGAAGUAAGUCUGCUACACUAUAGUAGUUUGUUACUGAAUAAUGCUGCAAUUGAUACAUGGAAUUUUCAGCCGAUGCUGGUCGCAUGUGUACGUCAGUUGAUUGAAGAAAUCAGGUAAACCUUCCAAUUGAACUUUAUUGAACUUUACAGUUCGAACACUUCCUUUUAAAGAUCUGACUUCUGGACGUGAGAACAACUCUUUGGAAAUCUGCAGAUAGUAAGCAUUACAAUAACCAAAACGUGCCGUGUUUCUAUUAAGUAGAUAACCUAUCUUAAAGUUUGGGAUCUUGGCUUGUCAAGUUAUGAUUUAUAGAAAUCUGCAGAUAGUGUAUUACUUUCCAUAUUUGGUGUCAUUGAACUGUGUUGGUUGCCCUUCAAGAGACGCUUCUUCAACGUGAAUCAAGGCUUAAUUGGGAGAUCCAACCAUCUGGACAUUGUCAUUGGGGGAGCAUUUCCUUGUUUCUCCAACCUUUAGUGGUAUCUCCUCUACAAAGAAGGCUUGAGAAGAGAGGAUGACUUUAUCCUAAGAAGACACAUUAGUUUAGCUAGCAUGUUCAUAUUUGACACAUGAUGAACAAUUCAACACUUGUUGGACACAUAUCUAACAUUUACUAGUACAACAAAUGUGUCAAACAUGCAUAGAACGCUUGUUAAGUAUGUCUGUUAACGCUAGAACAUGCAUAGAAUAGUAGAACACUAGUUAGAUCUCCCAUUAUGCAUGUUUGUUAACAAGUGUUCUAUGCAUGUUCGACACAUUUGUUUACUAGUAUCAAACAUGGAAAAACGUGUGACAAUAAUAAUCAAUUUGAUUGUGAAAUGCAACGAACUAAUUUUCAAGCUUACAAAUGCAUCAGUCCAUUAACUUUAAAUUUUCUUUUGAUUAAAAAAUGUUUCCUUGUCCUAAAUUUUAAGAAAAUGAUAUAUCACUGUGUCUUGUAUCUGUAUCCGCAUUUCUUAACUUUCAUCUCUUUCAGUUAAUUGUUUAAUUCUAAAGUUUCAAUAGAAAGUCUGAGGUUUUCUAACUCUUUUGAGUGGAGACUGUGACUAACCAGAGGCGUAGGAUCCUUUGUGGUGAUCAUUUAUUGAUGGAUUGAAUAUUUAAACUUAGAACUUUUAGGGUCCCAUCAAGAUAGCCAUAUUCAAAUAACAUACUGAAAUUAUUCCUUUGUUUCUGCAGUGUAUCAGGUUCAUACAAACCAUUACUAAUCUCUCUUGGCCUCAAAGAUCAUCCUGUGGAGACGAUGAAAGGCAUUGUUACUGCUGUGACUGACAAUAGACUUUGGUGAUUUUGAAGAUUUUGUUGGCAAAUAAUAGAUUAUUUUUUUCUUUGGA